UACGGAGGGGGCGAGCGUUAUUCGGAAUUAUUGGGCGUAAAGGGCGCGUAGGCGGCUGUACAAGUCAAAGGUGAAAUCCCUCGGCUCAACUGAGGAACUGCCUUUGAAACUGUACGGCUUGAGGCCGGGAGGGGGUAGCGGAAUUCCCAGUGUAGUGGUGGAAUGCGUAGAUAUCGGGAGGAACACCAGUGGCGAAGGCGGCUUCCUGGACCGGUUCUGACACUGAGGAGCGAAAGCGUGGGGAGCGAUCCGG
rnacentral:rRNA from 1 species